CCUACGGGUGGCUGCAGUGAGGAAUAUUGGUCAAUGGGCGAGAGCCUGAACCAGCCAAGUCGCGUGAAGGAUGACGGCCCUACGGGUUGUAAACUUCUUUUGUCAGGGAGCAAUUGAGUCCACGUGUGGUCUUAGCGAGAGUACCUGAAGAAAACGCAUCGGCUAACUCCGUGCAAGCAGCCGCGGUAAUAGGAGGGAUGCGAGCGUUAUCUGGAUUUAUUGGGUUUAAGGGGUGCGUAGGCGGAAUAUCAAGUCAGCGGUAAAAAUUCGGGGCUGAACCCCGUCGUGCCGUUGAAACUGAUGUUCUUGAGUGGGCGGGAAGUAUGCGGAAUGCGUGGUGUAGCGGUGAAAUGCAUAGAUAUCACGCAGAACUCCGAUUGCGAAGGCAGCAUACCGGCGCCCAACUGACGCUGAAGCGCGAAAGCGUGGGUAUCGAACAGGAUUAGAUACCCUUGUAGUC
rnacentral:rRNA from 1 species